ACAUCAUCCGUGUGGUGCGACGCUGGUCCCACGCCAUGUUAGGCCCAAGCCAGUGCCUUUGGUAUUGGACCAUUGCCAAUAGGCAUGGGAGGAGCCCCUGACAAGCAGAGUAAACUGACUCUGGUUUGGUCCCCAUCCUCUUCCCUGCUCCAUUCUACAAGGGGCAACACUGAGACUCAGGAGGAGGAAGCUGGAGGUCAGGACUGGUUGUGGGGCUGAUGGCUGGCAGGUGCCAGGAAGUUCAUCCUGCUGGGUUGCGGAACAAGCAAUAUGUGCGGUGUAAAGGACUUUGAAUUGAAAAUUGCAGGAAUCCCCUACAAAAUGGAUGAAAUAUCGUGUGAUACUCCCCCAACUACUGCAAAACCUCCAACUCCUGCAUCAGCUACAACUCAGAAAUCAGGAGUAACUCAAAAACCAGCCACAAGUACCAAAACAACAUCAGAGGCUUGCACUCACCAUAUCUUGGGGAAGAAUUCCUUCCUUCUUCUUCUACCCAGUAUCUCCAGCAUUCUCUUCAUGAAGUUCCUCUCCUAAACUCUCUCUCCACGCCAUUCAGCUAGGCAAAGGAAUGGACAAAUCUGUCACAUUCCAGUGCUCUUAGGUUUCUCAUUCUUUAAAAGAACAUUAAAUUCAGUUCUCCACAUUUCUACAGCAAUCUGCUUUUAAAAAAAAUAAAGCUAUUGAAAAUCUG